GGUUGGUAGGCAGACGGGAUACAGACAGACCCAGCAGGUUGGUAGGCAGGUAGGCAGACGGAUACAGACAGACCCAGCAGGUUGGUAGGCAGGUAGGCAGACGGAUACAGACAGACCCAGCAGGUUGGCAGACAGAUACAGACAGACCCGGUAGGUUGGUAGGUAGGCAGACAGAUACAGACAGACCCGGUAGGUUGGUAGGUAGGCAGACAGACCCGGCAGGUAGGUAGGCAGAUACAGACAGACCCGGCAGGUAGUUAGGUUGGUAGGCAGGUAGACAGACAGACCCGGCAGGUAGACAGACAGACCCGGUAGGUAGGCAGACAGACCCGGUAACUGUAGACAUUUUAGGUUUCCAUUGAGCCGGGUUUAAUAAGACAAACAACAUAUAUAUAUAUAUAAAUACAUAGAGACAGAGAUAUUUCACGUUAUAUAUUAUCUACCUCACUUGCUUUGGCAAUGUUAACACAUGUUUCCCAUGACAAUAAAGCCCCUUGAAUUGAAUUGAGAGAGAGAGAGGUGUCAUGGAAACGGUAGAGAUAGGAGACAUUUUCCGAAGGUCGACAACAUUUU
ensembl:lncRNA